rnacentral:lncRNA from 1 species
AUUGUUGUUGACCAUUGUUAUGGUGGACUAUUUUGGCCAUGUGGUUUCUCCUUGAUGUUCUAAACUUGACCACGUGAUAUUGUUGUUACUUGGUGGCUUGAGAACCAUUUUGUUGAAGUUGUAGUUGUCUUGGCCAAGUGUUGGAGAUAUUGUUAUUGUGGAUUGGAGUUGGCCGUUGGAAUUUUUGUUGUUCUUGAAGAUUGUUGUUAUUGUUCUUGGUGUGGUUGUUGUUGUUCUUGAAGUUCUUCACCUUCCUUCAUAUAUUGUUAGAACAUAAAGUGAAUGUUAGAUCCUAAAAGGUGAAAGAAAAAAGGUGUAUGUACUUGUUAGUCUUGAAAGACCCCCAACUAACAAAAGACUUUAUAUCACUUAUCAACCAAUUUUCCAUGAUUUAAGGACCCAUAUUUUAAGGAGAAGUACAAUAAAAAGUCAAGUCUUGGAAAUUGAAAAAGGCCCCAAGACUUAUUUUCACUCCUAAAACAAAUUCCACCAAUCCAAAUUAAUUUUUUGACCAAGACUUGAACAUUUGAGAAUAACCACUUGAUAAAACCGAAC